rnacentral:lncRNA from 1 species
CAAAUACCUUCUUAAACAACCUUAUAUGAGCAGUUCUCUUCUCAGGCUACUCUAGCACAGCUGUGGCCAGCUGCACUCAGCCUUCAGCCCAGCCAUGGAUUAUAUACCAGAUGAUUCCUGUUCAUUGAAAAUACUGGAAACAACAAGGAAUACAUCACACUGCCGAGAAAUUGGAUCCACCCAGAGAGACCAAAGGAAAGCUAUGACAUUUGAGGAACAGGCAAACAUUUCUCCUGCAAGCAUUUACUGAAGCAGGCCAUCUUCCAAGACCCUCAGUGCAGAAGUACCCUUUCUUCAACUCACUGCUGAUAUGUCCUUUCCAAAAUACAGAUAGA